GAUCAUGGCUCAGGAUGAACGCUAGCUACAGGCUUAACACAUGCAAGUCGAGGGGAAACGAUAUUGGAAGCUUGCUUCCGAUAGGCGUCGACCGGCGCACGGGUGAGUAACGCGUAUCCAACCUGCCCACCACUUGGGGAUAACCUUGCGAAAGUAAGACUAAUACCCAAUGGCAUCCCACGAAGACAUCUGAAUGGGAUUAAAGAUUUAUCGGUGAUGGAUGGGGAUGCGU
rnacentral:rRNA from 1 species